rnacentral:rRNA from 1 species
UCUUGGUCCAUUUAGAGGAAGUAAAAGUCGUAACAAGGUUUCCGUUGGUGAACCAGCGGAGGGAUCAUUACAGAGUUACUACUCCAAACCCAUUGUGAACCUUACCUAUGUUCUGUUGCCUCGGCGGCGCGGUCAGCGCCCGAAAGGACGACGGCCCCCGCCGGCAGCACCAAACUCUUGAAUUUUACAGCGGAUUACAGUUUUGAUUUGAAACAAAAAAAAAACAAGUUAAAACUUUCAACAACGGAUCUCUUGGUUCUGGCAUCGAUGAAGAACGCAGCGAAAUGCGAUAAGUAAUGUGAAUUGCAGAAUUCAGUGAAUCAUCGAAUCUUUGAACGCACAUUGCGCCCGGCAGUAAUCUGCCGGGCAUGCCUGUCCGAGCGUCAUUUCAACCCUCGAACCUCUGUUUCCUCAGGGAAGCUCAGGGUCGGUGUUGGGGCGCUACGGCGAGUCUUCGCGACCCCCGUAGGCCCUGAAAUACAGUGGCGGUCCCGCCGCGGUUGCCUUCUGCGUAGUAAGUCUCUUUUGCAAGCUCGCAUUGGGUCCCGGCGGAGGCCUGCCGUCAAACCACUAUAACUCCAGAUGGUUUGACCUCGGAUCAGGUAGGGUUACCCGCUGAACUUAAGCAUAUCAAAAGGGGGAAGGAA